GACAGAUGAAGAAAUCCUCAUUCCACAUCUGAGUCUUUGUUUCAAACCUAAAUCGCGAAAUCAUCCAAACCUCAUUGCAAAUUUCAUGGGUCUCAAUCAGUAGCUCUUUAUCUAUGCUGUACUGGCCUGGGUUAACUGGAAAGCAUUUGCCAAUCUGAAUUGACAGUCAUUGAAUUCCGAAGAGUUGAAAAAUCAGUGACAUUAUGAAUUAAACAAGUCUGGAAGUGGUGGAAACAAGUUGUGGUGUUUGAAUUGGCUUUGACUUAAAUCAAUUUUU